GCCAUCAGAAUGUUGGAGUGCCAUUACCAACUCUGCAUCUCCUCCUCUCUUCCUCCUGGAGUUCUGGGUAAGCUAUUUUGACCCACCCACUGGGAGAGCACUCUGGGCGUUGGAAGGUUAGGAGCCCUGAAAAGAAGGCAGGAGAAGAGAAGCCCUCAUUCUUCUACAUUAGCUGUGAGCCUGCAAAGGAAACCCCCUGCAGGGCUCCCAGAUUUUAAAAGCGCCCUGGUGAGUAAUGACCUGUUCGGGAAUUCUUGCUUCAUGUGCUGUUGAGUCUACUGAAUCUAAGUUUCUGGCAACAAACGAACUAGAUGGGCAAACAAUUUGAGCGCAUCUCAAUUGGGAGUAGCCACAUUUCAAGUGCUCAGUAGUCACCUGUGGCCCAUGGCUCCUAUAUUGGACAGUGAAGCUCAACAUUCUCCAGGUGAGAUGUGGAGGUGAUUAUUCUGGGGCCACUCUGCUCUCCAAAUUAAGCUGCCUAACUAGCUAAAUCAAGAUAAAAGGGAUAGAAUACAAUGAAGUGUAUUCAAAUAUAUGAAUAGCUAUGGAGCUUUAGAAAUGGGAUUUUAGGCUAUGGGUGCGGUAGUUCAUGCCUGUGAUCCCA